rnacentral:rRNA from 1 species
CAGUCGAGCGGAUGCAAGGGAGCUUGCUCCUGGAUUCAGCGGCGGACGGGUGAGUAAUGCUUAUGAAUCUGCCUGUGUAGUGGGGGAUAACGUCCCGAAACGGACGCUAAUACCGCAAACGUCCUACGGGAGAAAGCGGGGGAUCUUCAGACCUCGCCCUAUUACAUGAGCCUAUGUCGGAUUAGCUAGUUGGUGGGGUAAAGGCCUACCAAGGCGACGAUCAGUAUCUGGUCUGAGAGGAUGAUCAGUCACACUGGAACUGAGACACAGACCAGACUCCUACUGGAGGCAGCAGUGGGGAAUAUUGGACAAUGGGCGAAAGCCUGAUCCAGCCAUGCCGCGUGUGUGAGUAAGGUCUUCGGAUUGUAAAGCACUUUAACUUUGGAGGAAGGGGAUUUAGUUAAUACCUUGCUGUUUUGACUUUACCUACAAAAAGAAC